rnacentral:rRNA from 1 species
AUUGAACGCUGGCGGCAUGCUUUACACAUGCAAGUCGAACGGUAACAGGUUAAGCUGACGAGUGGCGAACGGGUGAGUAAUGCAUCGGAACGUGCCCGAUCGUGGGGGAUAACGCAGCGAAAGCUGCGCUAAUACCGCAUACGAUCUGAGGAUGACAGAGGGGGACCGUAAGGCCCCGCGCGAUCGGAGCGGCCGAUGUCAGAUUAGGUGGUUGGUGGGGUAAAGGCUCACCAAGCCAACGAUCUGUAGCUGGUCUGAGAGGACGACCAGCCACACUGGGACUGAGACACGGCCCAGACUCCUACGGGAGGCAGCAGUGGGGAAUUUUGGGCAAUGGGCGAAAGCCUGAUCCAGCAAUGCCGCAUGCAGGAAGAAGGCCUUCGGGUUGUAAACUGCUUUUGUACGGAGCGAAAAGGCUCUCUCUAAUACAGGGGGCUCAUGACGGUACCGUAAGAAUAAGCACCGGCUAACUACGUGCCAGCCGCCGCCGUAA